rnacentral:rRNA from 1 species
UGCCAGCAGCCGCGGUAAGACAGAGGUGGCAAACGUUAUCCGGAUUUACUGGGCGUAAAGGGUGUCUAGGCGGUUGAGUAUGUCUUCUGUGAAAGCCCCCUGCUUAACGGGGGGAGGCCAGAAGAAACUGCUCAACUAGAGGGUCGGAGGGGGAAGCGGUACUACCAGAGGAGCGGUGAAAUGCGUAGAGACUGGUAGGAACCUCGAUAGCGAAGGCAGCUUCCUGGCCGAUUCCUGACGCUGAAGCACGAAAGCGUGGGGAGCAAACCGGAUUAGAUA